rnacentral:rRNA from 1 species
GAUGAACGCUGGCGGCGUGCCUAACACAUGCAAGUCGAACGGAAAGACGUGCAGCUCCUUCUGGUGAGGGUGGCGUCGGGCGGCUGAGUGAUGAGUAGAUCGCCAACCAUUUGGACUGGGCUUACUUCGAAGAACCGGAAACAGUACCUAAUAAUAUAUAGAACUGCAGGGUGCAGUAGGUAGUGGAAGAUUUGCUGCUAGUGAUAGGUGAUGACGCGGCGCAUUAGCUACUUGGUAAGGUAACGGCUUACCAAGGCAACGAUGCGUAGCGGACCUGAGAGGGUGAUCGGCCACACUGGAACUGAGACACGGUCCAGACUCCUACGGGAGGCAGCAGUAGGGAAUAUUCCGCAAUGGGCGAAAGCCUGACGGAGCAACACCGCGGGAGUGAUGAAGGUCUUCGGAUUGUAAAACUCUGUUAUUUGGGAAGAAGAGAAGUGUAAGUAACUAUGCACGUGUUGACGGUACCUAAAGAAAAAGCACCGGCUAACUACGUG